rnacentral:rRNA from 1 species
GUCUUAUUGAAAAUAAUUUUAAGUCAAUCUGCCCAAUGAAUUAUUUUAAUGGCUGCAGUAUAAGUAACUGUGCAAAGGUAGCAUAAUCAAUUGAUUUUUAAAUGAAAUCUAGAAUGAAAGGAUUAAUGAAAUAUAUACUGUCUCAUAUUUAUUUUAUAAAUUUAAAAUUUUAAUAAAAAUGUUAAAAUUUAUUUAUGGGACGAUAAGACCCUGUAGAAUUUUAUAUUAAAUUAUAUUAAUAAUUAAUAUAAAUUUUAAUUUAAUAUUUAAUUGGGAGAAUUAUUAAAUUUAAUAAAUUUUAAUUUAUAAAAACUUUAAUUAAAGAAAAUAUUUUGAUCUUAAAUUUUAAAUUAUUAGAUUAAAUUACCUCAGGGAUAACAGCGUUAUAUUUUUUUAUAGAUCUUAUAGAAAAAAAUGAUUGCGACCUCGAUGUUGAAUUAAGAUAAAUUUUAAAUGUAGAAGUUUAAUAAUUAAGUCUGUUCGACUUUUAAAAUCUUACAUGAUUUGAGUUCAAAUCGACGUAAGU